CCCUUAGAUGUCCUGGGCCGCACGCGCGUUACACUGAUGCAUUCAACGAGCUUAUAACCUUGGCCGAGAGGCCUGGGCAAUCUUGUUAACGUGCAUCGUGAUAGGGAUAGAUUAUUGAAAUUAUUAAUCUUGAACGAGGAAUUCCUAGUAAACGCAAGUCAUCAGCUUGCAUUGAUUACGUCCCUGCCCUUUGUACACACCGCCCGUCGCACCUACCGAUUGAAUGGUCCGGUGAAAUCUCGGGACGGCGGCUUGGUCGCUUGCGUCCGACUGCUGAAACUUGAUUAAACCAUAUCAUUUAGAGGAAGGUGAANUCGUANCA
rnacentral:rRNA from 1 species